GCGUUCGGGUAAUCGCUGCAAUAGUUCACUAUUGUAGAGGAAAGUCCAUGCUCACACAGGCUGAGAUGCCUGUAGUGUUCGUGCCUAGCGAAGUCAUAAGCUAGGGCAGCUUGCUUAAGCGCAGGCUGACGGCAGGGAAAAUACCUAAGUCAAUUGAUAUGGUAUGAAUACCUAUAAAAGUGCCACAGUGACGGAGCCUAUUCAGAAAUGAAUAGGGUGGAACGAGGUAAACCCCGCGAGUGAGAAACCCAAAUAAUGGUAGGGGCACUUUCCCUGAGGAAAUGAACAGAAGGGAAGGACAGACUGCGGUCUGUAGAUAGAUGAUUGCCACUUCGUACGAGACUUAUCGUCGUUCGCAGUACGUAGUACAAAACAUGGCUUACAGAA
rnacentral:RNase_P_RNA from 1 species